rnacentral:rRNA from 1 species
AUUGAACGCUGGCGGCAGGCCUAACACAUGCAAGUCGAGCGGAGCGGCGGACGGGUGAGUAAUGCCUAGGAAUCUGCCUGGUAGUGGGGGAUAACGUCCGGAAACGGGCGCUAAUACCGCAUACUAUCGGAUGAACCCAUAUGGGAUUAGCUAGUCGGUGGGGUAAAGGCUCACCUAGGCGACGAUCUCUAGCUGGUCUGAGAGGAUGAUCAGCCACACUGGGACUGAGACACGGCCCAGACUCCUACGUGAGGCAGCAGUGGGGAAUAUUGGACAAUGGGCGGAAGCCGUAUGCAGCCAUGCCGCGUGUAAGAAGAAGGCCUUCGGGUUGUAAAGUACUUUCAGUCGGGAGGCGUUUCCGACAGAAGAAGCACCGGCUAACUCCGUGCCAGCAGCCGCGGUAAUAC